rfam:Nicotiana attenuata strain TT chromosome 6, whole genome shotgun sequence.
UUUGCAAGUGAUGAUAAAACAGACAGGGACAUCAGACCUUCAUUAAAUGGAGAAUGAUGACUAGUCUAAUGGGAAUCUCUCUGAUGCAAA